ACGGAAGGCAGCGGUGGGGGAUAUUGCACAAUGGGGGAAACCCUGAUGCAGCAACGCCGCGUGAGUGAUGAAGGUCUUCGGAUUGUAAAACUCUGAUCUAAGGGCAGAAACAAAUGACGGUACCUUAGGAGAAAGCCCCGGCUUACUACGUGCCAGCAGCCGCGCUAAUACGUAGGGGGCAAGCGUUAUCCGGAAUUAUUGGGCGUAAAGAGUGCGUAGGUGGUUACCUAAGCGCAAGGUUUAAUCUUGAGGCUUAACCUCAUUCUGCCUUGCGAACGGGUCUGCUUGAGUGCAGGAGGGGAAAGCGGAAUUCCUAGUGUAGCGGUGAAAUGCGUAGAUAUUAGGAAGAACACCGGUGGCGAAGGCGGCUUUCUGGACUGUAACUGACACUGAGGCACGAAAGCGUGGGGAGCAAACAGGAUUAGAUACCCUGGUA
rnacentral:rRNA from 1 species